rnacentral:rRNA from 1 species
GACGAACGCUUUCCUCGUGCCUCCUCCCUGCACGUCGAGCGGACUUUCAAGAAGCUUGCUUUUUGAAAGUUAGCGGCGGACGGGUGAGUAACACGUGGGCAACCUGCCUGCAAGACGGGGAUAACUCCGGGAAACCGGGGCUAAUACCGGAUAAUAUCUUCCUUCGCAUGAAGGAAGGUUGAAAGGCGGCGCAAGCUGCCGCUUGCAGAUGGGCCCGCGGCGCAUUAGCUAGUUGGUGAGGUAACGGCUCACCAAGGCGACGAUGCGUAGCCGACCUGAGAGGGUGAGCGGCCACACUGGGACUGAGACACGGCCCAGACUCCUACGGGAGGCAGCAGGAGGGAAUCUUCCGCAAUGGACGAAAGUCUGACGGAGCAACGCCGCGUGAGCGAAGAAGGUCUUCGGAUCGGAAAGCUCUGUUGUCAGGGAAGAACAAGUACCGUUCGAACAGGGCGGUACCUUGACGGUACCUGACCAGAAAGCCACGGCUAACUACGUG